AGUGAACGCUGGCGGUAGGCCUAACACAUGCAAGUCGAACGGCAGCACAGUAAGAGCUUGCUCUUACGGGUGGCGAGUGGCGGACGGGUGAGGAAUACAUCGGAAUCUACUUUUUCGUGGGGGAUAACGUAGGGAAACUUACGCUAAUACCGCAUACGACCUACGGGUGAAAGCAGGGGAUCUUCGGACCUUGCGCGAUUGAAUGAGCCGAUGUCGGAUUAGCUAGUUGGCGGGGUAAAGGCCCACCAAGGCGACGAUCCGUAGCUGGUCUGAGAGGAUGAUGGGCGGCAGUGGAGGUGAGAAUCGGACCAGAGUCCUACGGGAGGCACCAGUGUGGAAUGUGGGACAAGGGGGUCAAGGGUUAGCCAGGCAUACCGCGUGGGAGAAGAAGGCCUUCGGUUUGUAAAGCCCUUUUGUGGGGAAAGAAAAGCAGCAGGUUAAUACCCCGCUGUUCUGACGGUACCCAAUGAAUAAGCACCGGCUAACUUCGUG
rnacentral:rRNA from 1 species